rnacentral:rRNA from 1 species
GACGAACGCUGGCGGCGUGCCUAAUACAUGCAAGUAGAACGAGUGGCGAACGGGUGAGUAACGCGUGGUAACCUGCCGCAUAGCGGGGGAUAACUAGUGGAAACGGUAGCGAAUACCGCAUACCAUCAGAAGGGGCCAGAUGGGAUUAGCUAGUUGGUGGGGUAACGGCUCACCAAGGCGCCGAUCCCUAGCUGGUCUGAGAGGAUGACCAGCCACACUGGAACUGAGACACGGUCCAGACUCCUACGGGAGGCAGCAGUGGGGAAUAUUGCACAAUGGGCGCAAGCCUGAUGCAGCCAUGCCGCGUGUAUGAAGAAGGCCUUCGGUUUGUAAAGUACUUUCAGCGGGGAGGCGUUACCCGCAGAAGAAGCACCGGCUAACUCCGUGCCAGCAGCCGCGGUAAUAC